AACGAACGCUGGCGGCAUGCCUAACACAUGCAAGUCGAACGAGAUCUUCGGGUCUAGUGGCGCACGGGUGCGUAACGCGUGGGAAUCUGCCCUUUGGUUCGGAAUAACAGUUGGAAACGACUGCUAAUACCGGAUGAUGACGAAAGUCCAAAGAUUUAUCGCCAGAGGAUGAGCCCGCGUAGGAUUAGCUAGUUGGUGUGGUAAAGGAGCACCAAGGCGACGAUCCUUAGCUGGUCUGAGAGGAUGAUCAGCCACACUGGGACUGAGACACGGCCCAGACACCUACGGGAGGCAGCAGUGGGGAAUAUUGGACAAUGGGCGAAAGCCUGAUCCAGCAAUGCCGCGUGAGUGAUGAAGGCCUUAGGGUUGUAAAGCUCUUUUACCCGGGAUGAUAAUGACAGUACCGGGAGAAUAAGCUCCGGCUAACUCCGUGCCAGCCGCCGCAGUAA
rnacentral:rRNA from 1 species